CGUUGAGGACGACCUCAUCGCUCACCAUGCGAACGGGGACGACCCCA
rnacentral:ncRNA from 1 species